rnacentral:rRNA from 1 species
UAGGGAAUCUUCGGCAAUGGACGGAAGUCUGACCGAGCAACGCCGCGUGAGUGAAGAAGGUUUUCGGGUCGUAAAGCUCUGUUGUAAGAGAAGAACGAGUGUGAGAGUGGAAAGUUCACACUGUGACGGUAUCUUACCAGAAAGGGACGGCUAACCACGUGCCAGCAGCCGCGGUAAUACGUAGGUCCCGAGCGUUGUCCGGAUUUAUUGGGCGUAAAGCGAGCGCAGGCGGUUAGAUAAGUCUGAAGUUAAAGGCUGUGGCUUAACCAUAGUAGGCUUUAGAAACUGUUUAACUUGAGUGCAAGAGGGGAGAGUGGAAUUCCAUGUGUAGCGGUGAAAUGCGUAGAUAUAUGGAGGAACACCGGUGGCGAAAGCGGCUCUCUGGCUUGUAACUGACGCUGAGGCUCGAAAGCGUGGGGAGCAAACAGGAUUAGAUACCCUGGUAGUCCACGCCGUAAACGAUGAGUGCUAGGUGUUAGACCCUUUCCGGGGUUUAGUGCCGCAGCUAACGCAUUAAGCACUCCGCCUGGGGAGUACGACCGCAAGGUUG